GCCGCGGUAGCUCAAUCGGUGAGAGCAUCGCACGCUCAAUGCGAAGACGUAGGUUCGUGCCCUACCUGGGGCC